AGCAGCCGCGGUAAUUCCAGCUCCAAUAGCGUAUAUUAAAGUUGUUGCAGUUAAAAAGCUCGUAGUUGAAUUUCGGGGUUAGUAGGUUGGUCAUGCCUCCGGUAUGUACUGAUCUCACUGAUUCCUCCUUCCUUAUGAACCGUAAUGCCAUUAAUUUGGUGUUGCGGGGAAUUUGGACUGUUACUUUGAAAAAAUUAGAGUGUUUAAAGCAGGCUAACGCUUGAAUACAUUAGCAUGGAAUAAUGAAAUAGGACGUUCGAUCUUAUUUUGUUGGUUUCUAGGAUUGACGUAAUGAUUAAUAGGGAUAGUUGGGGGCAUUAGUAUUCAAUUGUCAGAGGUGAAAAUUCUUGGAUUUAUUGAAGACUAACUACUGCGAAAGCAUUUGCCAAGGAUGUUUUCAUUAAUCAAGGACGAAAGUUAGGGAUCGAAGACGAUCAGAUACCGUCGUAG
rnacentral:rRNA from 1 species